AGUAUCCACUUUACCUUUAUCAUGCAGCGCUCCGGCCCAUCAGGUUUUCUAUGUGCUUGGCUGCACUUGGUUAUUUUUUUCCGUCCCUGCACAUUUUCUUGGUGCUCGACGCUCACCUCCAGACUCGGGCUUAGAGUGUUUCCCCGGCAGUCUUUCUGAUAGCGGCGCGCUCCGUGAUUGCUUCCCAGGAUCAGAGCGGCAUGCAGCACGAGCAGGCGGCUCAACACACCACACAUGCUGUGAGAUCAAAGGUCACUCUUGGAAGCCUGGGAUUAUAGGGGAGUACAUGAGUGAGGUCACGAUCGGAGCAGAGAAGAUGAGGAGGAGGUCAUGUCACAGCAACACGGCUUACUGCCUCAGCAGCAGCAGGAGCAGCAGCAGCACCCAGAGCUGGAGGAGUCCCACUGGGAGAGCCUCUCUGUGGUUAUCAUACCCCAUCUAGUGGCUGCAGCAGGUUAAAGGAGAGGAGGCAGCGUGUCACAGGCCGACA